AUUGAACGCUGGCGGCAUGCUUUACACAUGCAAGUCGAACGGUAACAGGCCGCAAGGUGCUGACGAGUGGCGAACGGGUGAGUAAUGCAUCGGAACGUGCCCAGUCGUGGGGGAUAACGCAGCGAAAGCUGUGCUAAUACCGCCUACGAUCGAUGGAUGAAAGCGGGGGACCGUAAGGCUUCGCGCGAUUGGAGCGGCCGAUGUCAGAUUAGGUAGUUGGUGGGGUAAAGGCUCACCAAGCCAACGAUCUGUAGCUGGUCUGAGAGGACGACCAGCCACACUGGGACUGAGACACGGCCCAGACUCCUACGGGAGGCAGCAGUGGGGAAUUUUGGACAAUGGGGGCAACCCUGAUCCAGCAAUGCCGCGUGCAGGAAGAAGGCCUUCGGGUUGUAAACUGCUUUUGUACGGAACGAAACGGUCUGGGUUAAUACCCUGGGCUAAUGACGGUACCGUAAGAAUAAGCACCGGCUAACUACGUGCCAGCCGCCGCUGUAACAC
rnacentral:rRNA from 1 species